rnacentral:rRNA from 1 species
UACGUAGGGGGCAAGCGUUGUCCGGAUUUAUUGGGCGUAAAGGGUGCGUAGGCGGUUUUCUAAGUCAGCAGUGAAAUACGGCAGCUCAACUGUCGAGGUGCUGUUGAUACUGGGGAACUUGAGUACUGAUGAGGUAGGCGGAAUGGACGGUGUAGCGGUGAAAUGCUUAGAGAUCGUCCAGAACACCGAUAGCGAAGGCAGCUUACUAAGGAGUAACUGACGCUGAGGCACGAAAGUGUGGGGAUCAAACAGG